CCCUGGACUACAUUUCCCAUGCUCCAUUGCACUUAUCACAAGUUCACCUGAAACCAAUCACACACAGCUGCUACCAAUAACACACAGUAUAUAAAUCAGUCUCACACCACCAUUCACUGCCGAGUAUUGUUUGCGUUUAUUCCUCAGUCAGUGAUAGCACUUUACGGAGCUAUUCCGUUUUUUCAUAGUUUAACCUUGUUUAUUGCCUGAGUCAUUCAUGUCUUGAUCCUAGCCUGUGUUUGUCAUUUCUUUGUGUUCUCUGCCUGCCCUGAAGUUUAUAGCCUGUCUUUGAUUACCCCUCUCGUCUUGCUCUGUUCGGAUAAUACUUACCCCUCGCCUGGACCAUAGCCUGUGUUUCGGAUUUACCCUUUGGAUUACUCUGUUUUGAUAUUGUUCGCUGGAGAUCAACCAUGCCCAAUCACUGGACUACUCUUACAUCUUGCCCUCAAUAUGCCUGUUUGCCAUCGUCUGACUCUCACCUGUUUUGACCAUGUCCUUAAAUAAAGCUUGCACAUGGAUCCGCAUGCCUCACAUCUCGUCGGCUCCGUUACAGAAUGCUCAGCCAAACAAGUAUCCAGCACCUUUUCAGAGGAACAUUGGCCAGUUUACCCUAGGCCCCAGUUCAUGCCAUGGGUUCCUGAUCACUCUGGUUCACCGUGGUGGUCUGCCAAUAUGCUUUGGUGGGCCAAAGCUCCGUCUGCUCUGUCGUGGUGGUUUUCGGCUGCGCGCUGCUGGCCUUCUGCUCUAGCCUGGUGGUCUUCUGCUCAGUCUGCUCCGGCCUGGUGAUCUUCUGUCCUGCUCUGGUGGUCUUCUUCCAAAAGAAGUCAAAUAAAGUGUAUCCAUCCAUAAUAAGUGCCUCACAUGGCUCCGGGGGUGAACAAAGGCCUCCUGUAGUGAAUCGAUGCGUUUUUGUAAGAAAAAUGUCUAUAUUUAAAAUGUAAUAAUCACUUUAAUGUAGCUUUUGCCAACAGUUGUACACAGAAGCAGCUCCAGGAGGAUUUUUUUAUAUAUAACUUAAAAAUUUGGAUUCAUCUGAAAGAAGAAAGUCAUAUAAACCUAGGAUGCCUUGAAGCAGCAGAUCUCAGUUCAGAUGAUGCUCCUCCAGAUAUUCCUGCUUACUAGAAAAAUUAUCACGACUAUGAGGAUGAGAAUAUUACAGGUAUUUACUGAACUGAUUCAAUUUUGUAUCUUUCUAUUUAGUAAAAGUACAUUUCAGUUUCUAACAGUUUGUAUUAAACCAGUAUCAUGACAAAACAACAUUAAUCUUCUUCCUCUGAGGUUUAAUUGUGGUUGGCAAGCAAACAUAUGUUUUUAACACCACCAGCUGGACUGGAGUGUGAGACUAACCGAUUCACGAUUUAUUAGAGAUCUGUUUUGACUAGUGGUGGGCAGAUCGAGGCUUCGUGAAGCAAUGAAACAGUUGAAGCAAAUGUGCCAUAUUGUGUCGAGGCUUCGAAUCAAUCCGACACCCGUCUCAACGGUGACACCUAGUGGUCACUUGCAGGUGUUGAUCUGAAAAAACCUGGACAACAAGCCAUUAAAAUGUUUUUUUUUUUUUU
ensembl:lncRNA